UAAGCUUCAGAAAGAGGUAUGUGUGGAGAAGAAAAUAAAAUAGAAUGAGGUGAUAGAGCAUAAGGAAGGGGAGGCUACUCUGGACUGCAGUAGCCUGGGGAGGUUGACUUCUGAGCUGCAAACCAAAUGACAAGGAGCCGGCCACACGGCCAUCUGUGCAAAGAGCGUUCCCAGCAGAAGAAACAGCAGGUGCAAAGGCCCUGAGCCUGAAACAGGGCUGGAAUGCUAGGACCGGGAUAAGAUCAAUGUGCCUGGAGUUUGCCACAUUCUGAGGUCCUGGGGAUUAGGACUUCAGCAUACGGAACUGAAGGACAUGAUUCAGCCCAUAACACGUGUUACCUUUCUGUGAUUACAAGAGCAACGUAUGUUCACUGUAGAACAUUUCCAGAGAUGAAGAAACCAAGAUUGGCAAAAAUCCAAACGUUUGACAAUGCAUUCUGUUGGUGAGGCUGUGAGGAGGCAGGUGCUCUCAAGCAUGAAGGGCAGAAUGGCACGGUCUCCUAUGUCGGGGAAGGAGUGAACAAAGGAACACGUGAACUGGGGUUUUUAUGUCUUCACUGAAAUGCUGUAUCACUUACCUGGAGACCGCGCUCCCAUGGCACUUCCUAUUAAAUGACACAAUAAAUGUCCU